CCCUCUCUCUCUGCCCUUAACCCACUCACUCUGUCUCUCCCUCUCAAAAAUAAACAUUUAAAAAUAUGUAAAGUAUAGACAAAAGUAUGAUGUUACAGCAAGUAUAUGUUUUGUAAAUUUUUCUGUAUAUAUUGGAACUUUUUACAUUCUGUAAAAAUGUCACAAAGGAUUUAUAUCCAUCUAGAAUUUCAGAAUUGCAUAUGCUUAAUUAAAAAUCAAAAUUCACUUGUACUUAUAACUUUGCCUAAAAUGCAAUUUAAAAUUAUUUUGCUGAAUACUAGAAUGGCCUAACUUAGAAAAACACAUUGGAAUAUUUAUUAAACACAGGAAAUGUUUUUUUUCAGCAUUGCCUUAAAAUGUUAUUUCAUAUUAGUUUUUUAUUGAGCUUCUCUUAUUGGGAGAAUGAACUAUUUCUUUUAAACUCAGCAAAUGCAUGAAUCCUGUAGGCUACUUACCAUAUUAUGCUUUAUGAAUAGUUUUUCACAGUUAAAUAAUGUUUAACCUAAGCCUUAAUGUUUCUGCUCAUGUAAAAUAAGUGUUUUGGUUUGUAAGGAUCUCAGGUGUUCAGAAUUGAGUCAGUCAUUGAUCAUACUCUUUAUUAACAACACCAGUAUCAUUGAUCUAGGAAGGGUACACUUUUGUUCUGUUUUAUUUCACCUUUUUUUCUUCCUCUCCUACCUGCAAUUCCAUACUUCUUACUCCCUACUAUAUUUAAUGUUUAUCCUUCCAAGCCAUUGUCCAAAUUUGGGGUAUAUUUCCUUGAAAAACUAUAUAUGUGUUUUAACUAUAUAUUUACUAUGUGUUCUUUAUAAAUGAUAGUGUGGUAUGAAUCUCAUUUUGCUUCUUUCAUAAAAUAUUGGGUUUUAUGACCUAUUCAUGUUACCUUUCUAUAAUGUGCUUCUGACUGGUGCAUAAUAUUCUACUGCAUCCACAUGCCACAGCUGAUCUUUUCCUCUAGUCACAGAUACUUAAGCUGUUCUCAGCUGUGCCUCUUUCUACAAACUUGUACAUGUCUUCCUAUGAAAUUGCCCUGUAGUCUUUAUGGGGUAUAUGCCCUAGAGUAGAAUGCCUUGGGUUGGGGGUAUAUGCAUAUUUAAUUUCAGUUAAGUAAUGCUGAACUGUUCUCAGGAAUGGUUGCACCAUUUUACACUUGGACCAUUCAAGACAUGAGGGUUACAUUUUAUCUACAUCUUCAGCACCACUUGAUAUAUAUGAUUUUUUUGUGUAUCUGAUAUAUGUGAAACUUUUUUUGUCUUAAUCUGCAUUGUCUGAUGACUAAUAAGGAUAGGCAUAUGCUUUUUAGUCAUUCUAGUUUUCUGUUCUUUGGAGAAUACUAUAUUGUACUUAUAAUUUGCCCUUUUUUCUAUUAGGUUUUUUACUUUCUCGCUGAUGAUAUAGUACAAGAAAUAUUCUAUAGCUUCUAGACAUGUUAUUGUCAGGUUCAGACAUUGGAAAUAACUUAGUCUUGUCAUUUGUUAAUUCUUGUCUUUGGUGUCCUUCAUGGAAUAGAAAUCUUUGAUUUUCCCAAUUGUGCUUUUUAGGUCUUGUUCUUCUCAGUUUUAUAGUUUUACCAUAUACAUUUAGCUCUUUAGUUUAAUUGGAAUUUAUUUUUGGAUAUAGUAUGUGGUAUUAAUCUAGCUUUUUUUCCAGCUAGUCAUAAAAGGGAGUGGGUUAUCAAAACCCCUUCUCUCUAGGUAGUGGGGAAAUGAUUUUGUUUUUACCUCCUCCUUAGCACAAUUUCCUUGGAUAUCUGUUAAAUUAAGAUAAAUAUGGAAUGCCAGCUGCUUACCCAGCAACAUUUUUGUAUUGUACCAAAAACAAAAAACACAGGCUUUGAGAAUUCUCUGAGUAAGGGAAGACUGUAACUGAGCUUGUUCCUCAUUGCAGAGACCUGGAACCUACCAUCAGGGAUUUUUACAAGAUAGUGGUUCCUGUGGCACGUGAGGCUUGCCUAAGGAGAAUGCCCUCCUCUAUAUGAUCUAUUUACUGUGGUAUAUCCUGCCAAGCUAAGUAGCCUUUGUGCUGAGCUAUUACAUUUUUUUCUUCAGGUUUUUCUUGUUUUUUUGUUUUUUCUUUUUAAUUUUUUGCUGCAGAAAGCUUUAUGGGUGAGCCUUGCGAAGAGAUACUCCCCCAGCAGCCUGGGGGCCAUCCCCCCUGCAGGGGUGAGUCAUGGUCGCCCGUCUUCUUGAUCCCCUUCUCAUCUUGGUCCUCCAGGAAGUCACAGAGAUGGGGGGCUGCGUGGGCGGAACCCAGGGCACACAGAGCCAAAAGGGCCUGGUUCAGGUUCUCCAGAGCUGGGGUGGCUUGUGUGGUGUCCAGGGUUUUAUUACACUCAUCCUGGAACAGCUUCUGCCUGAUCCUGGUCCUGGAAGAGGUGCAGCUGCCUGGCUGAUUUGGCAUCUUCUGGGGACACUCAGCACCCUCACACUUCUCGGCCAACAUGUGGAAGUGGCCCAGGCCCUCCAGAUCCCCAUUGUCACUGUAGGUGUUGCUUUCCGCAACCCUCGGGCCAAGGAGUGACAACUAAGAAAGAGCCAAGGAAUGACAAGAAAGACGCAGACACAAUAAAGACACAGACACACAAGAAACUUUAUGCAGCAUCUCCUCUCCAGUCAAACUGGGCUUAUUUAUUGUCUCAACUACCCAUCCUCUCAGUUCCGGUUCCCAGGGGCCUGUUGCCAAGUUCCUGCUCCGUAUCAGCAAGUAACCCUAUGCUUGGAAGUAGUCUUGUUUGCACGUAGGCUCCCUUGGCUUUUCAUUUGUUACUCUGUCAGCACCCUGGCUCUUUUGCAAGCACGGAUGUCCCAGAGCAGAAGAUAUCUCACCGCCAGGGACAGUCAACCCAAAACAGGCCCACAGUUAGAGACGGUCAGCCUGGGACAGGCCCUUCAGUCAGAAUAGAAGCCCAGAGAGAGGUAGGUGUAGGAGGCCUGCAGAUACGUGUUGACCGGGCAGUUGAUGCCCCCUCCACCUUAGUGAAAUAAUUCUGAGGAACCCAGGAAGCUCACGGUUGAUAGGUAAUAAUAAGCUAAGCUCAAAUUAGGAUGUUGGCCAGUCACAGAGCCAGAGGAUGCCCGACAAGAUGGCUCCGAAGGUUGUGACUGGAAAAAAGGUUGGAGGGUGGUCGGGAGGCUGGUAGCACGGGCGUCCCUGCUUCUGUCCGUCUAGACACUGUUGAAGCAAGAGACAGAUCCACGGGGACCGCCAGGUGCGUUUCCUCUUCUUUAGGUUUGAAAGCUAUACGUUUCUAUUUUUUUCUUGUUGUGGUUACUUCUAACCCCUAAUUAUGUUUAUUUUUCUCUACCAGUGUUUAAAGUUUUCAACAUUGAAGUCUUAUAAGCAGACAAGAAUGUUGGCAUGCUAUCAUCCUCCUUGCUUUCUCCUCCAGACACUGCUCCCUGUGGGUCCCUUGCCCCUAUUCCUUCACCAAUGUUGGUAUCACUUGAAGUUUUAGUCUAGAUUCUUAUGGUUAAUUUUUCAUACUUAAUAUUCACCUAGUUGAAGAAAUAACUUAUUUGAAGUUAACUAUUUUUCCUUCCUAUAUGUUUUAUACAUUCACAUAUUUUUAACUAUGAAACGAGUAAAAUCUCAUGGUUUUUUAAAAAAAUCAAAUUGUGAUUUAAAAAAAAAGGGACGUAGUUUCUGCCUCACUCCAGAUUCCCAGAAGCUUUUUUGCAUUUAGCUUUUUUGCUACUCUGUUUUUACCGUAUUUCUAAAUAAUGUGCUCAUCCUGUAUUUCUUACCAAUUUUAGAGGUUCUCUCCUCCCCAAUCCCCAUGGAGAAUUUGACUGCCUCACACUACUAUCCCACAUUUCCUCUGCAGCCAUUUCAGAUUCAGAGAUAGACAUUUUGUGUCAAGAUUGGCAAACAGCCAUGCCUGUUCUGGAGCACCCACCUUUAGUGUAAUUUGAGAGAGAAAUAAACUUUUAUUGUGUUUAAGCCACUA